AUACUUAGUGGCGGACGGGUGGAGUAACGGCGUGGGUAACCUGCCUUAUACCGGGGGACGAACAGUUGGAAACGACUGCUAAUACCGCAUAAGCGCACAGUCUCGCAUGAGACAGUGUGAAAAAACUCCGGUGGUAUAAGAUGGACCCGCGUCUGAUUAGCCAGUUGGCGGUGUAACGGACCACCAAAGCGACGAUCAGUAGCCGGCCUGAGAGGGUGAACGGCCACAUUGGGACUGAGACACGGCCCAAACUCCUACGGGAGGCAGCAGUGGGGAAUAUUGCACAAUGGAGGAAACUCUGAUGCAGCGACGCCGCGUGAGUGAAGAAGUAUUUCGGUAUGUAAAGCUCUAUCAGCAGGAAAGAAAAUGACGGUACCCGACUAAGAAGCCCCGGCUAACUACGUGCCAGCCGCAGC
rnacentral:rRNA from 1 species